rnacentral:tRNA from 1 species
AUUUUUAUAGUAUAAUAUCUUAAGUACACUGGCUUUUCAGGCCAUUAUUCCCGGUUAGAGUCCGGGUAAAAAUA